AACGAACGCUGGCAGCAUGCCUAACACAUGCAAGUCGAACGCCUGUAGCAAUACAGGAGUGGCAGACGGGUGCAAAACGCGUGGAAACCUAUCCUUGGGUUCGGAAUAACCGCGGGAAACUGCGGCUAAUACCGGAUACGUCCUGCGGGAGAAAGAUUUAUCGCCCAUUGAGGGGUCCGCGUCUGAUUAGCUAGUUGGUGAGGUAAUGGCUCACCAAGGCGACGAUCAGUAGCUGGUCUGAGAGGAUGAUCAGCCACACUGGAACUGAGACACGGUCCAGACUCCUACGGGAGGCAGCAGUGGGGAAUAUUGGACAAUGGGCGCAAGCCUGAUCCAGCAAUGCCGCGUGGGUGAUGAAGGCCUUCGGGUUGUAAAGCCCUUUUGGCGGGGACGAUGAUGACGGUACCCGCCGAAUAAGCUCCGGCUAACUUCGUGCCAGCCGCCGCCGUAACAC
rnacentral:rRNA from 1 species